rnacentral:lncRNA from 1 species
UGAAGGCUUCCAGAGGAAAGCUAUUGUGAUCUGUCCCACUGAUGAGGACCUAAAAGACCGCACCAUAAAGCGAACUGACGAAGAAGGAAAAGAUGUCCCGGAUCAUGCAGUCUUAGAAAUGAAAGCUAACUUUACUUUGCCUGAUGUUGGAGACUUCCUGGAUGAGGUUCUGUUCAUUGAGCUCCAGCGAGAGGAAGCAGACAAGCUGGUGAGGCAGUAUAACGAGGAAGGCCGGAAGGCCGGCCCACCCCCUGAAAAGCGCUUUGACAACAGAGGUGGUGGCUACAACCAGAACCGCUGGGGUAACAACAACCGGGAUAACAACAACUCCAACAACCGAGGCAGCUAUAACCGGGCUCCUCAGCAACAGCCACCACCACAACAGCCACCACCACCACAGCCAUCACCACCUCCAUUGCUCCUCCAUGUGCCAGACCUCCAGAGUUUUACAGUGGUCCUUUUGAUUAGUCUCAUUUCCCCUUUACCUGAAUGUUCUAACCGGACUUUAGCAAACUGCACUUAUUAAGAGAUGUUUUACCCUGUUUUGUUUUCUUUCAAUAAAUGACAUGGCACCUCUUAUCAGGAAGGAAGCAGGGUUGAAACCUGUU